ACGGGUGAGUAAUGUCUGGGAAACUGCCCGAUGGAGGGGGAUAACUACUGGAAACGGUAGCUAAUACCGCAUAACGUCGCAAGACCAAAGUGGGGGACCUUCGGGCCUCACACCAUCGGAUGUGCCCAGAUGGGAUUAGCUAGUAGGUGGGGUAAUGGCUCACCUAGGCGACGAUCCCUAGCUGGUCUGAGAGGAUGACCAGCCACACUGGAACUGAGACACGGUCCAGACUCCUACGGGAGGCAGCAGUGGGGAAUAUUGCACAAUGGGCGCAAGCCUGAUGCAGCCAUGCCGCGUGUAUGAAGAAGGCCUUCGGGUUGUAAAGUACUUUCAGCGGGGAGGAAGGCGGUGAAGUUAAUAGCUUCACCGAUUGACGUUACCCGCAGAAGAAGCACCGGCUAACUCCGUGCCAGCAGCCGCGGUAAUACGGAGGGUGCAAGCGUUAAUCGGAAUUACUGGGCGUAAAGCGCACGCAGGCGGUCUGUCAAGUCGGAUGUGAAAUCCCCGGGCUUAACCUGGGAACUGCAUUCGAAACUGGCAGGCUGGAGUCUUGUAGAGGGGGGUAGAAUUCCAGGUGUAGCG
rnacentral:rRNA from 1 species